GCGGAUAUGGUUUAGUGGUAAAACGGGACCUUGCCAAGGUUCAGUCGGGAGUUCGAUUCUCCCUAUCCGCA
rnacentral:tRNA from 1 species